GCCGGGCACAGUGGCUCAUGCCUGUAAUCCCAGCACUUUGGGAGGCAGAGGCGGGUGGAUCACCUGAGGUCAGGAGUUCCAAGAUUAGCCUGACAAACAUGGUGAAACCCCGUCUCUU
rnacentral:SRP_RNA from 1 species